AAAAAACGAAACGACGAGAGAGAAAAGAAGUGAACGAAUUGGUCCAAGUGCUUCUGUUCUUGCUAAAUGUCUUCAUCCAUCUUAUGUUUUUGUCCUCUCUCUCUCUCUCUCUUUGUCUUUGAAG